ACGGGCCCGUCGAUGUGUCUUCUUUGGUUAUCCCCUUGGUCAAAAGGGUUAUCGUCUUUAUGAUCUUACUGCACAAACAUUUCUUUCAUCUCGAGAUGUGGUUUUUCACGAAAAUAUAUUCCCAUUUUCUACAUCCCCGUCCGAAAAUCAAGAUGACACAAUUGUCCUACCCACUCCAUCCCAUGACCCAUUAUCUCUCCCAGAACCCCAUCUGGCCCACAAUCCCCAUCCAGCCCAUGAUCCACAGACCCAGGUAACCCAAGACCACACCAUCUCUGAUUCGCCCACUCCUUACCUACAUCCCUCUCCCGUGGCAUUAGAUGCCGCCCCUCCUUCAUCCCUUGACCCAUCAGCUUCGUCUCCGCCUAUCAUACCAGAUCUUCCCACUAUUCCCUCAUCACCUUCCAUCGACACCCACCCCCCUCCUAUUCGCAAAUCCACCCGCACUACCAAACCUCCUUCCCACUUCAAAGAUUACCACGCUCACCAUGCUGCCCUGCUUGCUCCUGGCGCUCCUUCCCCAAUCACGUCUGGCACUCGCUACCCCAUCACUCGGUAUGUCUCUCACUCCAAUUUUUCUGAGCAUCAUAGAAUUUUUGUCAACAAUAUCUCUCAAUUGGUUGAACCCAACACCUAUGAGGAGGCACGACAUCACCCACACUGGGUUGAAGCCAUGAAUUCUGAAAUUACAGCUCUGGAGGAGAACAACACUUGGUCCUUAGUUCCAUUGCCAGCUGGUCAUCGUCCGAUCGGAUGCAAAUGGGUUUUCAAAAUUAAAUACAAUUCUGAUGGUUCUAUUGAGAGAUACAAAGCUCGCUUGGUCGCCAAAGGAUUCACCCAACGUGAA
rnacentral:lncRNA from 1 species